rnacentral:rRNA from 1 species
AUGAACGCUGGCGGCGUGCCUAAUACAUGCAAGUCGAGCGAACGGAUGAGAAGCUUGCUUCUCUGAUGUUAGCGGCGGACGGGUGAGUAACACGUGGAUAACCUACCUAUAAGACUGGGAUAACUUCGGGAAACCGGAGCUAAUACCGGAUAAUAUUUUGAACCGCAUGGUUCAAAAGUGAAAGACGGUCUUGCUGUCAUUUAUAGAUGGAUCCGCGCUGCAUUAGCUAGUUGGUAAGGUAACGGCUUACCAAGGCAACGAUGCAUAGCCGACCUGAGAGGGUGAUCGGCCACACUGGAACUGAGACACGGUCCAGACUCCUACGGGAGGCAGCAGUAGGGAAUCUUCCGCAAUGGGCGAAAGCCUGACGGAGCAACGCCGCGUGAGUGAUGAAGGUCUUCGGAUCGUAAAACUCUGUUAUUAGGGAAGAACAUAUGUGUAAGUAACUGUGCACAUCUUGACGGUACCUAAUCAGAAAGCCACGGCUAACUACGUG